rnacentral:rRNA from 1 species
UACAGGGGGGGCAAGCGUUGUUCGGAAUUACUGGGCGUAAAGGGCUCGUAGGCGGCCAACUAAGUCCGACGUGAAAUCCCAAAGCUUAACUUUGGAACUGCGUCGGAUACUGGAUGGCUUGAAUUCGGGAGAGGGAUGCAGAAUUCCAGGUGUAGCGGUGAAAUGCGUAGAUAUCUGGAGGAAUACCGGUGGCGAAGGCGGCAACCUGGCUCGUAACUGACGCUCAUACACGACAGCAUGGGGAGCGAACGGG